GAAAGUCAUAAAUAUAUAAAUUAAAAUAUAUUGUAUUAUAUUCAUCGAAAAUAAAUAAAUAAAAAUAUAUAAAAAUACUGACUGUAAAAAUAUCCUUAAUUAUAUUAUAAUAAAAAAGCAAAAGGUAUUAUUUUUAUAAAUAUAUUUUAUAAUAAAGUAAUUAAUAUAAAUAAUAUAUCUAUCCAUUUUUAUCCUCUUUUAACGUAACAUAACAUAACGAUUUUUAAAUUUAUCUUCCCCCCCACACUUAUAAAGGGAGGGGAUUGAUAUUUAUAGUGUAAUAAAGUGGAUUUAAAAAGGAAAUAUUAAAUAAGUAUAUAUACUUAUUUAUUUGUUAUAAACAUAUAACAAAUAUAUAUGGAAAUUAAAAGCUUAAUAUAUAUAUUAUUAUAUAUUAUUAAAAUAAUAUGAGUGAAAUAUAUAAUAAUUAUAUUUAUAAUAAUAAUUAUUAUUAUACAAAAAUAUGCUU
rnacentral:rRNA from 1 species